rnacentral:snRNA from 1 species
AUACUUUUCUCGGCCUUUUAGCAAAGAUCAAGUGUAGUAUAUGUUCUUAUUAGUUUAAUAUUUGAUAUGUAAGUCAUUGAUUCACACGAUAUUAACUGACUCCACCAACU